rnacentral:rRNA from 1 species
AUUGAACGCUGGCGGCAGGCCUAACACAUGCAAGUCGAGCGAGCGGCGGACGGGUGAGUAAUGUCUGGGAAACUGCCUGAUGGAGGGGGAUAACUACUGGAAACGGUAGCUAAUACCGCAUACCAUCAGAUGUGCCCAGAUGGGAUUAGCUAGUAGGUGGGGUAAUGGCUCACCUAGGCGACGAUCCCUAGCUGGUCUGAGAGGAUGACCAGCCACACUGGAACUGAGACACGGUCCAGAAUCCUACUGUGAUCAACAGUUUACAAUAUUGCACAAUGGGCGCAAGCCUGAUUCAGCCAUGCCGCGUGUAUGAAGAAGGCCUUCGGGUUGUAAAGUACUUUCAGCGGGGAGGCGUUACCCGCAGAAGAAGCACCGGCUAACUCCGUGCCAGCAGCCGCGGUAAUUC